rnacentral:rRNA from 1 species
CGGCACGGGUGAGUAACACGUAGGUAAUGUGCCUUUGGGUGGGGAAUAACUUAGGGAAACUUAAGCUAAUACCGCAUAAUGCAGCGGUUCCUUCGGGAGACAGUUGUUAAAGAUUUAUCGCCUAAAGAGCAGCCUGCGGCAGAUUAGCUAGUUGGUAAGGUAACGGCUUACCAAGGCUACGAUCUGUAUCCGACCUGAGAGGGUGGUCGGACACACUGACACUGAAUAACGGGUCAG